AGCAGCCGCGGUAAUUCCAGCUCCAAUAGCGUAUAUUAAAGUUGCUGCAGUUAAAAAGCUCGUAGUUGAAUUUCGGGAUCAAUAUGUCGGUCGUGCCUCGGUACGUACUGGUUUAUUGGUUUCUCCUUUCUGAAGAACCAUGAUGUCAUUUAUUUGGUGUCGUGGGGAAUCAGGACUGUUACUUUGAAAAAAAUUAGAGUGUUUAAAGCAGGCUCACGCUUGAAUACAUUAGCAUGGAAUAAUGAAAUAGGACGUUUGAUUCUAUUUUUGUUGGUUUCUAGGAUCGACGUAAUGAUUAAUAGGGAUAGUUGGGGGCAUUAGUAUUCAAUUGUCAGAGGUGAAAUUCUUGGAUUUAUUGAAGACUAACUACUGCGAAAGCAUUUGCCAAGGAUGUUUUCAUUAAUCAAGAACGAAAGUUAGGGGAUCGAAGACGAUCAGAUACCGUCGUAGUCUUAACCAUAAACUAUGCCGACUAGGAUCGGAUGAUGUUAAUUUUUAAUGACUCAUUCGGCGCCUUAAC
rnacentral:rRNA from 1 species